UACAGAGGUCUCAAGCGUUGUUCGGAUUCAUUGGGCGUAAAGAGCUCGUAGGCGGUCCGUCACGUCCGCUGUGAAAACCCAGGGCUCAACCCUGGGCUUGCAGUGGAUACGGGCAGACUAGAGGUAUGCAGGGGAGAACGGAAUUCCUGGUGUAGCGGUGAAAUGCGCAGAUAUCAGGAGGAACACCGGUGGCGAAGGCGGUUCUCUGGGCAUGAUCUGACGCUGAGGAGCGAAAGUGUGGGGAGCGAACAGG
rnacentral:rRNA from 1 species